AAAACUUGCUCUUUCCUCUGUGCCUUUGGAGAAGUCAUCUUCUCUCCAAUUUGGUACACUUUUUCCUCAUUCCUCUCCACAAAUAAGGGAUCCUUUAUCCCUGGAAAUUUCAAUUCAAAACUCAGAUCCUUCAAGAAAUAACAGAUGGCUCCCUCCAAACUCACAUCCUUGGGACAUAUAAAUUCAGUUUAAAUAAUUUUCAUUUGUACUUCCAAGUUGAUUUAGAUUUUCAAAAUUUUGUUUCAUUCAUAUUUGUUAUAUUCCUAAUCAGAUUGCUAACUUCUAGCUCAUAGAGGCUGCUCCCUUAUUUGACAUUCUCCACAACACCUUAAUCUACACCAGUGCUUAGGGCCCUUAAUUCAUAUUGACUGAUUUAGUUCCCUUUGUCAGCUGAUUCAGAAUAUAAAUGGCAGAAGCCAUGGAUUUGAAUGUCAGUCUCUGUUUUCUCAUGUGUAAAAUCAGGGAUUGUUGAUAAUUUCUCAAAUCUUUUCUUGCUCUUAAUUUUAUGAUUCAAAUAAAUUCUUCCAUCAGUGAUUGAGUGAAUUUCUUACUAUAUUUGCCAUAUAAUUCAGCCUAUGUCCCUUGCUUUAUGCUUACUUCUGAGAUUACUGACCUUAUAAGGUCAUUGUGAGAUUAGGACAAAGGAUGUCCUGGGUCACAAUGUACUGAAACUCUUUAUAGGGAAAGCUCUCUGGCUUGGAGUUCAGGUUGUCAUCGUCAAGAAAGCUGCUCUAAGAUUCGGGUGUUGGGCUCUUGGACAACAUCCAUCAUGGUUCAGUGCAGAUGGUACCAGUGCAAAAAUCGACUUUCUGAGAAAAGGAGGAAGCAAUGUCCACAGAGGAGAGAAAACCAGAAAAGGAGUGUGAAUUCCUAUUAUUACUACCGCAAGAAUGUGGUUUGCUGAGGAGGCCCAUGUUUCUCUAAGGUGCCACUGCCCCCCUGCUUUCUACCUACAACUCUGAAGGGACAGGAUCAUCCAGAACAUCUCUGCAACAUUAAGUCCCAUGAGCCCCCCCAAGCCCACCCAGUAUUGGGAACUUUUGGUCAAUAAAAUCUGAUCACUUGCAGCACACAAGCAAA